GCCUCCAUAGCUCAGUAGUAGAGCAGUCACCUAGAUAGCGAAAGAUCCUCAGUUCAAAUCCGAAUGAGGGCA
rnacentral:tRNA from 1 species